GAGCUCGGCGGCCACUCGAACGGGACGGUUUUGUCCCUGAAGACGCCGCAAAGUAAGCCACGUUUUGACGAUCAGACUCGCCCGGAGAAUAAGUCAUCGGUCAAAGCGCGCCAACUCCGAACCAAUCUCUGCAAUCCACCCGAAGGGAGGUCCCGCCGGAAGAGGAAUCAAGCAGUGGUCGCUGUGCCAAUCUCGCUGUGGGAAUCUGUGUCGCGCAAGACCCAUCUCCGAAGAACGCCGCCAAAAGCAAGACCUGAAAACAUCCACACGGUGGCAG